rnacentral:rRNA from 1 species
AGCUCAGAUUGUAGGCUGAAACUCGCCUAUAUGAAGUCGGAAUUGCUAGUAAUCGCGGAUCAGCAUGCCGCGGUGAAUACGUUCCCGGGCCUUGUACACACCGCCCGUCACACCAUGAGAGUCGAUAACACCCGAAGCCUGUAGUCUAACAGCAAUGAGGACGCAGUCGAAGGUGGGAUUGAUAAUUAGGGUGAAGUCGUAACAAGGUAUC